GAUGAACGCUGACAGAAUGCUUAACACAUGCAAGUCGACUCGAGUCUUCGGACUUGGGUGGCGGACGGGUGAGUAACGCGUAAAGAACUUGCCUCAUAGUCUGGGACAACAUCUGGAAACGGAUGCUAAUACCGGAUAUUAUGCUUUCUUCGCAUGGAGGAAGUAUGAAAGCUAUAUGCGCUAUGAGAGAGCUUUGCGUCCCAUUAGCUAGUUGGUGAGGUAACGGCCCACCAAGGCGAUGAUGGGUAGCCGGCCUGAGAGGGUGAACGGCCACAAGGGGACUGAGACACGGCCCUUACUCCUACGGGAGGCAGCAGUGGGGAAUAUUGGACAAUGGACCAAAAGUCUGAUCCAGCAAUUCUGUGUGCACGAUGACGUUUUUCGGAAUGUAAAGUGCUUUCAGUCGGGAAGAAGCAAGUGACGGUACCGACAGAAGAAGCGACGGCUAAAUACGUGCCAGCAGCCGCGGUAAUACGUAUGCCGCAAGCGUUAUCCGGAUUUAUUGGGCGUAAAGCGCGUCUAGGCGGCAAGGAAAGUCUGAUGUGAAAAUGCGGGGCUCAACUCCGUAUUGCGUUGGAAACUGCCUUACUAGAGUACUGGAGAGGUAGGCGGAACUACAAGUGUAGAGGUGAAAUUCGUAGAUAUUUGUAGGAAUGCCGAUGGGGAAGCCAGCCUACUGGACAGAUACUGACGCUAAAGCGCGAAAGCGUGGGUAGCAAACAGG
rnacentral:rRNA from 1 species